GUAAGUCUGCGAAGGUGUAUCGAGAGGUAUGCUGGAGAUAUCAGAAGUGCGAAUGCUGACGUAAGUAACGAUAAAGGGGGUGAAAAGCCUCCUCGCCGGAAGACCAAGGGUUCCUGUCCAACGUUAAUCGGGGCAGGGUGAGUCGACCCCUAAGGCGAGGCCGAAAGGCGUAGUCGAUGGGAAGCAGGUUAAUAUUCCUGCACGACUUGUAAUUGCGAUGGGGGGACGGAGAAGGCUAGGUGGGCCAGGCGACGGUUGUCCUGGUGAAAGUGCGUAGGUGGUGUUUCCAGGCAAAUCCGGAGACACAACACUGAGACACGAGACGAACACACUACGGUGUGGAAGCCAUUGAUGCCCUGCUUCCAGGAAAAGCCUCUAAGCUUCAGAUUACAAGUCAUCGUACCCCAAACCGACACAGGUGGUCGGGUAGAGAAUACCAAGGCGCUUGAGAGAACUCGGGUGAAGGAACUAGGCAAAAUAGAACCGUAACUUCGGGAGAAGGUUCGCUCUUGACAGUGAAGUCCCUUGCGGAUGGAGCAGUUGGGAGUCGCAGUGACCAGAUGGCUGGGACUGUUUAUCAAAAACACAGCACUCUGCAAACACGAAAGUGGACGUAUAGGGUGUGACACCUGCCCGGUGCCGGAAGGUUAAUUGAUGGGGUUAGCGCAAGCGAAGCUCUUGAUCGAAGCCCCGGUAAACGGCGGCCGUAACUAUAACGGUCCUAAGGUAGCGAAAUUCCUUGUCGGGUAAGUUCCGACCUGCACGAAUGGUGUAACCAUGGCCAUGCUGUCUCCACCCGAGACUCAGUGAAAUCGAAUUCGCCGUGAAGAUGCGGUGUACCCGCGGCUAGACGGAAAGACCCCGUGAACCUUUACUACAGCUUGGCACUGAACAUUGAACCUACAUGUGUAGGAUAGGUGGGAGGCUUUGAAGGCGUGACGCCAGUUGCGCUGGAGCCGUCCUUGAAAUACCACCCUUGUAUGUUUGAUGUUCUAACGCAGGGCCCUGAAUCGGGCUCGCGGACAGUGCCUGGUGGGUAGUUUGACUGGGGCGGUCUCCUCCCAAAGAGUAACGGAGGAGCACGAAGGUUGGCUAAUCCUGGUCGGACAUCAGGAGGUUAGUGCAAUGGCAUAAGCCAGCUUAACUGCGAGACGGACAGGUCGAGCAGGUACGAAAGUAGGUCAUAGUGAUCCGGUGGUUCUGAAUGGAAGGGCCAUCGCUCAACGGAUAAAAGGUACUCCGGGGAUAACAGGCUGAUACCGCCCAAGAGUUCAUAUCGACGGCGGUGUUUGGCACCUCGAUGUCGGCUCAUCACAUCCUGGGGCUGAAGUCGGUCCCAAGGGUAUGGCUGUUCGCCAUUUAAAGUGGUACGCGAGCUGGGUUCAGAACGUCGUGAGACAGUUCGGUCCCUAUCUGCCGUGGGCGUUGGAUGAUUGAAGGGAGUUGCUCCUAGUACGAGAGGACCGGAGUGAACGAACCUCUGGUGUUCGGGUUGUCACGCCAGUGGCACUGCCCGGUAGCUAAGUUCGGAAUCGAUAACCGCUGAAAGCAUCUAAGCGGGAAGCGAGCCCUGAGAUGAGUCAUCCCUGACCCCUUGAGGGUCCUAAAGGGCCGUU
rnacentral:rRNA from 1 species